GAANUGGGCGCAGCCUGAUCCAGCCAUCCCGCGUGAAGGAUUAAGGUCCUAUGGAUUGUAAACUUCUUUUCUCUGGGAAUAAAAAGUGGAGUUCACUCCGCCUUGAAGGUACCAGAGGAAUAAGCACCGGCUAACUCCGUGCCAGCAGCCGCGGUAAUACGGAGGGUGCAAGCGUUAUCCGGAUUCACUGGGUUUAAAGGGUGCGUAGGUGGCUUUGUAAGUCAGUGGUGAAAGCCCGGAGCUCAACUCCGGAACUGCCAUUGAUACUGCUUAGCUUGAAUCAGGCCGAGGUGGAUGGAAUAAUACAUGUAGCGGUGAAAUGCUUAGAUAUGUAUUAGAACACCGAUUGCGAAGGCAGUUCACCAGGCCUGUAUUGACACUGAGGCACGAAAGCGUGGGGAUCAAACAGGAUUAGAUACCCUGGUAGUCCACGCCCUAAACGAUGUAAACUCGACAUUAGCGAUAUACAGUUAGUGUCCAAGCGAAAGCGUUAAGUUUACCACCUGGGAAGUACGACCGCAAGGUUGAAACUCAAAGAAAUUGACGGA
rnacentral:rRNA from 1 species